rnacentral:lncRNA from 1 species
AGCCAACAACUCAUUUGGAAAAAAAAUGGAAAAGUUAGAGAGAGAAAUUGGAUCUAAGGAGAAACCCUCAGGACUAAGCAUUUUAUACCAAUUUUGAGUUGUUUGAUAUCUAUAAUGUAGAUCUUGUGUGUCUAUAGUGAUAUAGCUUGAUCCCAAGCUAAAAGAAGCCUAUUUCUUUGCUCCCCAAGGUGAAAAACGCGCAUCUUUCGUCAUUUCAUUGGUAAAUAUUGUUCUAACCACUAGAUCUAUUUCAUGUAUUGUUUGUACCUAGUCAGACUUGUUGGUUUACAUAUAUAUUAUGUAGUAAUUGGUAGAUCCAGAGAUUUUACCGAUUAUUUUCUGUAUGCAUAUUUGGAAACCAAGUCUAGGGACUAGAUCUAGCCGAAUCUAGCACUUUAAACGGUUAUGGAGCUCAAAACUCUAACCUAUAUGCUAGAUCAUUCUUGAUUUUAUUAUUUUAUAUGCAACUGUUAUACUGGUUAUAUUAUUUAACUUUGUUUCGGCUGAUUGGGUGUUUUUGUUAUAUCAUUAUUCAUAUUACCACGUAUUUUUCUCUUAAUUUGUGUUGCUUUUUAUUCAAUGGAGUUUGGUCGCUUUCUGUUGCGAUCUGGUUUUUUAGGUGAGUGUUGUUCUUGGUGGAGGAUCUGCAGUUUCCUUUCCGAUCUGGUUUCAUGAUUUUAUUGCUUAUCUAUGACAUGAUCAGAUUUGGGUUUAGUUUUCAGUAGAUGUCGUUGCUUGGAAUCCACUGUGGUUUAUUCUCUGCUGGUUUUGGGGGUCUAUGCUGAAGCUUAGCCAGAAGUUAUGGUUUGGUGAUUCAUCGCCGGAAUUUCACAUACUGUUCCAUCGGCUCUUACUUGGGCUGCUACCUUGCGGUUCUGAUGGGUUGUCAGAUCUGGGGGUUUGCCGAUGGUCUGUUCGCCGAUCUGGAUCUGCUCCGGCAGUUAGCCGAUUUCCUACUGAUUGGUUAAGUGUUGUAGGGGAUGUCACGUGGGGCUGACUGGCUGUCCCCCACGUGUGGGUUAACCUCUUUGGUACAUGUGAUAUUGACCCUUUUAAAACUUUGAAACCAAAUACUUUUGAAUGUUGGAGUACAUGUGCUAAUGGUCUGCAUAUGUUGCUCCUGCUGGCAUGUGCAGCUACCAUGAUGGGCUGAUAUUUGAGUUCCACUAUCCUUAAUUCAAACUGAUGGUGGAUCUUUAUGUAGCUGUUAUUUUCCUGAAUUUAGUUAAAGGAUGAAUUACAUAUUUUAUUAUAUUUUUGAAAAUAAUUAUAACAAUAGUGUACUCAUAAAAUAUUUACAUAAUUAAUACAAUUUCAUAUUUAUUUACAAUAUUAGUGCAAUUAGAAUUUCUUAAUUUAGAGAAUUAGUAUGCAAUUAUGAUUUCUUAAUUUAGGGAUUAAUUAUCCCCAUGACUUCUUCUUUCUCUCCUCAUCUAGAACAACUGCAUUACUUAGUCAUCACCCUUC